rnacentral:rRNA from 1 species
GACGAACGCUGGCGGCGUGCUUAACACAUGCAAGUCGAACGGAAAGGCCCUGCUUGCCGGGUGCUCGAGUGGCGAACGGGUGAGUAACACGUGGGUGAUCUGCCCCUUACUUUGGGAUAAGCCUGGGAAACUGGGUCUAAUACUGGAUAGGACCGUGCUGUAGGUGGUGUGGUGGAAAGAUUAGUUUCGGUAAGGGAUGAGCUCGCGGCCUAUCAGCUUGUUGGUGGGGUAAUGGCCUACCAAGGCGUCGACGGGUAGCCGGCCUGAGAGGGUGGACGGCCACAUUGGGACUGAGAUACGGCCCAGACUCCUACGGGAGGCAGCAGUGGGGAAUAUUGCACAAUGGGCGCAAGCCUGAUGCAGCGACGCCGCGUGGGGGAUGACGGCCUUCGGGUUGUAAACUCCUUUCAGCCAUGACGAAGCCCUUGUGGUGACGGUAGUGGUAGAAGAAGCACCGGCUAACUACGUG